CUUUGUCUUUUACUAAUUCAAUGAUCUGUUUAAUCUUUUAUUAAAUUAUAAAAAUGAUAAAUACUUUUAAAUAAGUGAAAAAUGUCCUUCACUCUUUAGACCCAUAAUCUUAUCUCAGGAAAUAAUUGCAGUUGAGAAAAUGGGCCAUAUCCUUCAAGAUACGUACAUGGUGAUUGAACAUCACUUCAUAUUUUCAUAUUUCGUGGACAUUUGUGCCAAUACCUAUUGAUCUAUCUUAAUCCUUUUCAUGGUUGCAUAAUAUUUUAUUAUAUGGAUGUAUCACAAUUUACCAGUACCAGUCAACUGCUGGAGGCAUUUAGGCUCCUUCUAAUAUUUGCUUUGAGCUCUUUAUAUAAUUAAAAAUUAACCCCCUCAGCCAGGUGUGGCAGCUCACACCUGUAAUCCCAGCAUUUUGGAAGGCUGAGGUGAGAGAACUGCCUGAGUGUAGGAGAUCACCACCAACCUGGUCAACAUAGUGACACUUUGUCUCUACUACAAAUUAAAAAAAAAAAAAAUGAGCUACACGUUGCAGUGCACACCUGUAGUCCGAGCUACUGGGGAGGCUAAGACUGGAGGAUCACUUGAGUCUAGAAGGUUGAGGCUGCAGUAAGCUAUGAUCACACCAUUGCACUUUAGCUUUGCUAAGAGCAAGACUGCAUUUCUUAAACAAAAUAAAAAUUAGAUGGGAAUAUUGCUCAAGCCCUGGAGGUUGAGGCUGCAGUUAACUGUGAUUGCACCACUGCAGUCCAGCCUAGGUGAUAGAGCAAGACCCUUUCUCUAAAAAUAAAAUAAAAUAAAAAUUAACCUUCUAUCAUAUUUCCCAGUAACACCUUCCCUCCUACAUUUCUCCUAGAAGCCCUUAAAUUUUGUUUUUCACAUAUCGUUUAAAACUUUUAAGUGCUGAUGUCUGUCUGUGUCAUCCCUCUUUUUUUUUUUUUUUUUAAAUGUCUUUUUGUCACUUCUAGCUGGACCUACCAUGAAAGACUUCUGAAUCCAGGAAGAGAAACUGACUGGGCAACAUGUUAUUCAGGUACAAAAAGACUUGGACUGUAACUCAAAAAUGAUCAAAUAAUAGUGCAUGCAUCAAGUGCAAUCGGAAGCUCUUCUGGAGAGGGAGAGAAGCUUCCAGUUAAGGUGACAUUGAAGCCAAGUCCUGUAAGAUAAGGAAGAGUUGUAUGAGAGUGGGGAGGGAAGGGGGAGGUGGAGGGAUGGGGAUUGGGCUGGGAUGGGAUGGAGUGAGCUGCCCAGGCAGGGAAACCAGCACUAUACAGACCUGAACAAUGAAGAUGGCACAUUUUGUUCAGGGAAUGGUGAAUUAAGUGUGGCAGAAAUGCUUUGUAGAGACAGUAAUUUGCUUGUAUGGAAUUUUGCCCAAGAGACCUCAUUACAGUUUCUAAUUUUUUGAUGUUAUCAUGCAUCACUGCCCUUGUCAGAUAGUAUCAUGAUCACAAUAACAUCAAGCAUAAUAUUUCAUUGAUUCUCACAAAAACAGGUGGGUGCCACAGUUAUCCCCAUUAUAUGCACAAAAUGAUGAAGACUUGGGGUUAAUGAGCGAUUUGCCCAAGCUCUCCUGAAUAUUAGGACUGAGUCAAAUGUUAGUCUGGUCUGACUUUAAUGCUUGCCUUGUUCAUGAGCACCAUGCAUUGCCUCUCCUAUUAAGUUAAGCAGGUAGACAGGUGAGAGAAGAGCCAGUGUGAUAUCGGGGGAAAUUCACCCCUGAUAUUUCAUGUAGGUUCUUUUCUAUUUUCCCUGAGUGUCAGCCAGUCUGAGAAAUAAAGGGAAAGAGUACAAAAGAGAGAAAUUUUAAAGCUGGAUGUCCAGGGGAGACAUCACACGUCGGCAGGUUCCGUGAUGCCCCCCAAGCCGCAAAACCAACAAGUUUUUAUUAGUGAUUUUCAAAAGGUGAGGGAGUGUACGAAUGGGGUGUGGGUCACAGAGAUCACAUGCUUCACAAGGUAAUAAAAUAUCACAAGGCAAAUGGAGGCAGGGCAAGAUCACAGGACCACAGGACUGGGGCGAAAUUAAAAUUGCUAAUGAAGUUUCGGGCGCGCAUUGUCAUUGAUAACAUCUUAUCAGGAGAAAGGGUUUGAGAGCAGACAACCCAUCUGACCAACAUUUAUUAGGCGGGAAUUUCCUUGUCCUGAUAAGCCUGGGAGCGCCACGCGAACCCAGGGCUUAUUUCAUCCCUUAUCUAUGACUGUAAAAGACAGCCGUCCCCAAAGCGGCCAUUUCAGAGGCCUCCCCUUAGGGAUGCAUUCUCUUUCUCAGGGAUGUUCUUUGCUGAGAAAAAGAAUUCAGCAAUACUUCUCCUAUUUGCUUUUGAAAGAAGAGAAAUAUGGCUCUGUUCAACCCGGCCCACAGGCAGCCAGAGUUUAAGGUUAUCUCCCUUGUUCCCUGAAAUUGCUGUUAUCCUGUUCUUUUUUCAAGGUGCCCAGGUUUCAUAUUGUUUAAACAACUUGUGCAGUUAACGCAAUUAUCACAGGGUCCUGCGGGGACAUUCAUCCUCAGCUUACGAAGAUGACCGGAUUAAGAGAUUAAAGACAGGCAUAGAAAAUCACAAGGGUAUUGAUUGGGGAAGUGAUAAGUGUCCAUGAAAUCUUCACAAUUUAUGUUCAGAGAUUGCAGUAAUGACAGGCCUAAGAAAUUAUAGAAGUAUUAAUUUGGGGAACUAAUAAAUGUCCAUGAAAUCUUCACAAUUUAUGUUCUUCUGCUGUGGCUUCAGCCAGUCCCUCCGUUUGGGGUCCCUGACUUCCUGCAACAUGUUUCUCUCUACUCACAGACUUCUGACCAAAUGUGUGUGCAGAGUUUCUACACCAGUUCUCCAACUCUCUGGAUACCAACCGCGUAUCCCACAAUUCCAUUCUGACACUACCUAGAGUUAGCACAGAACCCACAGGUUAGGGGCUCAGUCCCACAAGACCACCCUCACUUCAGAUGCCAGUUGCAAGUCCUAGGUUGUCACCUGUAUUUUGACCAACCAGUUAGAAAUCAGGGUUUCCCAUGACCCUCUUGUUGAGUUUAAUUAUUUACUAGAACAACUCACAGAACUUAGAAAAACAAGUUUUUUUUCUUUUCUUGUUAAGAGACAGGGCCUCGCUCUGUUGUCCAAGCUGGUGUGCAGUGGUGCAAUCAUAGCUUAUUGAAGCCUCAACAUCCAGGGCUCAAGUGAUUCUCCUGCUUCAGCCUCUCAAGUAGCUGGAAUUACAGGGUUCCCACCACCACAUUUGGCUAAUUUCUUUUAUUUUUUGUAUAGAUGGGGUCUUCUUAUGUUGCCGAGGUUGGUCUCAAAUUCCUAGGCUCAAGUGAUUCCGCCCACCUCUGCCUCCCAAAGUGCUGGGAUUACGGGCAUGAGCCAGUGCAUCUGGCCACCUUAUUUUCUAUUACUGGCUCAAUGUAAUGGCUCCAUCUCAGGAACAGCCAAUGAAAGAGAUGCACAGGACAAGGCUGAUCUCUAACUCUUAGCCUCAAGCAAUCCUUCCUCUUUGGCCUCCCAAAAUGUUGGGAUUACAGAUGGGAGCCCCCAUACCCACCAAUCACAAGGAU
rnacentral:lncRNA from 1 species